rnacentral:rRNA from 1 species
UACGUAGGGAACAAGCGUUGUCCGGAAUUACUGGGUGUAAAGGGCGAGUAGGCGGGACAAAAAGUCAGAUGUGAAAACUAUGGGCUUAACCCAUAGCCUGCAUUUGAAACUUUUGUUCUUGAGAGAUGGAGAGGUAAGCGGAAUUCCUAGUGUAGCGGUGAAAUGCGUAGAUAUUAGGAGGAACACCAGUGGCGAAGGCGGCUUACUGGACAUUUACUGACGCUGAGGAGCGAAAGCGUGGGGAGCGAACAGGAUUAGAUACCCUGGUAGUCCACGCCGUAAACGAUGAUUACUAGGUGUAGGGGGUAUCGACUCCCCCUGUGCCGCAGCAAACGCAAUAAGUAAUCCACCUGGGGAGUACGGCCGCAAGGUUGAA